UACAGAGGGGGCAAGCGUUAUUCGGAAUUAUUGGGCGUAAAGGGCGCGUAGGCGGCCUGGCAAGUGGAAGGUGAAAUCCCUCGGCUUAACCGAGGAACUGCCCUCCAAACUGCUUGGCUUGAGUCCGGGAGAGGUGAGUGGAAUUCCCAGUGUAGCGGUGAAAUGCGUAGAUAUCAAGAGGAACACCUGAGGUGAAGACGGGUUGCUGGGCCGACACUGACGCUGAGUGCGCGAAAGCCAGGGGAGCAAACGGG
rnacentral:rRNA from 1 species